CAAAACAUGCAAUAACUGGACUUCAACCAAGAGUGGAGAGAACCUGGGAAAUGGCUAAAAUCUGUCUCGGGCGAUAGACUGUCGAGUUUGCUUUCUACAAUGUGAUAGUACAAAAGGUGCUGACUUCCCAGCUGCAGUGUGCCAAAAAUAUCCAGAAUCAAACACAUUGCUAUGGAUCUGGAGUCAUAUGUCAGCCAGACUGGUGAUUCUGAGGCUUCAGAGGAUGGGAGCUCUUGAUCUUGAGUACUGCAACAAACCACCUCGAUCACCACCUUCAGAAGUCUUGUUUGGAAUGGAUAGAACUUUUUCCCUUUGCAAGGCCAUGGAUUGGCGGUGAAGUUAAAGUCGGACCAAUUCAGAAUAGCCAUGGACAUUAUCGCCCCCUGUUACAACGUUGCAAUAUGAGAAGCCCAACUUCAAUCAAAGGUAUGAAAACUGCACAGUAAAUGCAUUUUUGAGACUCAAACCAUUAUCAGUUUACUUAUUUGAAGAUUUAUUUGAAGAUCCCAAAUCUUACAGCUGUGUUUAUAUGUUGUCACCAUGGUGACACUUUGCAAUCAUUAUUGUCACUAAGUUUGGGUCUGACCUGGAGUAUUCCAACUUAUGUUUACAUAUAUUCUUCAUUGAUGGUCUUAUCAACAAUAAAGGCUUUGAUUUCCAGUCCUUUUGUGAAUCCAAUUUUCAAUAAGUAUGAAUUCUUAGGGUAGCACUAAACAUGGACAAAUAAUUAACACUUUCUCCUGAAUUAUUUCCACAUUUUAUGUCUGUUGGCAUCAUCAUGGAGAGGGAAGCUGUCCUUCACUGAAGCACUGAAAUACUCUUGGAAAUACGUGCAGAAAAAUAGGUGAAAGACUGGGACUUGUGGACACACCCAUGCUUUCAUUCGCUCUGUGCAGUCGACACCUGGGCAAACAUUGCGACUGAAUGUUUGGUCUGUCAGCAUCAACAGUUGGAAUGAAUCAUAAUUUAAUGGUGCAAUAUUUUACAGGAGCUCAACAGCCAAGUGCUCAGUGUCAUUUCUGUUUCCGAGGGCUGCAACUGAGGCCGUAGAAGAGAGGUAAAAUGUUAUCUCUGUGACCUCUCAUCAUACUCACCUUCCCAAAGUAACCUGUUUGUUACUUUCAGUCCUUGGACAAUGUGACUUAAUGCUUUUUUUUUCCUUUGUUUCAACCUAAGCUUACUGUCAGUUGGCAAAUGAAGCAAAAGUUUUUUUAUCAAUAGCGCUACAGGUAUAAGCAUGAGAUUCAAAUCCCAGUAACAAUCCAUCAUGGACAAAAUUGAGCAAUUUCAGAUGAAAUUACAGUUUGUUCAAUUAGAGGUUGCUUCAGGGUUAGUUUUGGUGCAGUUUACACAUCCAGAGGUGCUUCUUGUUUUUUUUAGGAGUGAACACUUCUUUUAUCAAACUUGCCUCCAUUUUCAUUUCGCGAUUCAUUGUGGAUGUGUGUCGGUUUGUAUGUUGUAUAUGUUGCGUUGGUGCACAUGUUAAUGUGCUUUAAUCUGUGAACCUCCGCAACCACC